AGAGUUCGAUCCUGGCUCAGGAUGAACGCUGGCGGCGCGCCUAACACAUGCAAGUCGAACGGCACCCCUCUCCGGAGGGAAGCGAGUGGCGAACGGCUGAGUAACACGUGGAGAACCUGCCCCCUCCCCCGGGAUAGCCGCCCGAAAGGACGGGUAAUACCGGAUACCCCGGGGUGCCGCAUGGCACCCCGGCUAAAGCCCCGACGGGAGGGGAUGGCUCCGCGGCCCAUCAGGUAGACGGCGGGGUGACGGCCCACCGUGCCGACAACGGGUAGCCGGGUUGAGAGACCGACCGGCCAGAUUGGGACUGAGACACGGCCCAGACUCCUACGGGAGGCAGCAGUGGGGAAUCUUGCGCAAUGGGGGGAACCCUGACGCAGCGACGCCGCGUGCGGGACGGAGGCCUUCGGGUCGUAAACCGCUUUCAGCAGGGAAGAGUCAAGACUGUACCUGCAGAAGAAGCCCCGGCUAACUACGUGCCAGCAGCCGCGGUAAUACGUAGGGGGCGAGCGUUAUCCGGAUUCAUUGGGCGUAAAGCGCGCGUAGGCGGCCCGGCAGGCCGGGGGUCGAAGCGGGGGGCUCAACCCCCCGAAGCCCCCGGAACCUCCGCGGCUUGGGUCCGGUAGGGGAGGGUGGAACACCCGGUGUAGCGGUGGAAUGCGCAGAUAUCGGGUGGAACACCGGUGGCGAAGGCGGCCCUCUGGGCCGAGACCGACGCUGAGGCGCGAAAGCUGGGGGAGCGAACAGGAUUAGAUACCCUGGUAGUCCCAGCCGUAAACGAUGGACGCUAGGUGUGGGGGGACGAUCCCCCCGUGCCGCAGCCAACGCAUUAAGCGUCCCGCCU
rnacentral:rRNA from 1 species